rnacentral:lncRNA from 1 species
CCAACUAUAUAACUGUACAAUAUCAAAUCCUACCAACAAUAGGACUGUACAAUAAUGAAAGAAUAUCUACCAAUAAUAAAAAGAUACACAACACAAUAUAUCCUAAUACGCCCCCUCAAGAUGGAGUGCUGGAGGAUACGCCAAUCUUGGACAUCAGCUGAAGAAGCCGAGGACGAGAUAACUGCUUGGUGAGAUCGUCGGUGUGAUCGACGAGAUGAUGACACUGAGAAUAAGAUUGUUCUGGCGAAUCCAGUAAGGAUAUGCUGGAUUGGGGGAAGUUACCUCUUUGUCAACGAUAGUGGCNN